UGGGGAAUAUUGGACAAUGGGCGAAAGCCUGAUCCAGCCAUGCCGCGUGUGUGAAGAAGGUCUUCGGAUUGUAAAGCACUUUAAGUUGGGAGGAAGGGCAUUAACCUAAUACGUUAGUGUUUUGACGUUACCGACAGAAUAAGCACCGGCUAACUCUGUGCCAGCAGCCGCGGUAAUACAGAGGGUGCAAGCGUUAAUCGGAAUUACUGGGCGUAAAGCGCGCGUAGGUGGUUUGUUAAGUUGGAUGUGAAAUCCCCGGGCUCAACCUGGGAACUGCAUUCAAAACUGACUGACUAGAGUAUGGUAGAGGGUGGUGGAAUUUCCUGUGUAGCGGUGAAAUGCGUAGAUAUAGGAAGGAACAUCAGUGGCGAAGGCGACCA
rnacentral:rRNA from 1 species